CACGUAGGGCGCAAGCGUUGUCCGGAAUUAUUGGGCGUAAAGAGCUCGUAGGCGGUCUGUUACGUCUGCUGUGAAAUCCCGGGGCUUAACCCCGGGCGUGCAGUGGAUACGGGCUGGCUGGAGGCAGGCAGGGGAGAACGGAAUUCCCGGUGUAGCGGUGAAAUGCGCAGAUAUCGGGAGGAACACCGGUGGCGAAGGCGGUUCUCUGGGCCUGUUCUGACGCUGAGGAGCGAAAGCGUGGGGAGCAAACAGG
rnacentral:rRNA from 1 species